GCGCCGGUGGUGUAAUGGCGUAGAGCGUUCCUGCGCGAUUAGCAGGUGGUGCGGGUUCGAGUCCCACCUGGCGCU
rnacentral:tRNA from 1 species